UACGUAGGGGGCAAGCGUUGUCCGGAAUUAUUGGGCGUAAAGCGCGCGCAGGCGGUUUUUUAAGUCUGGUGUUUAAACCUAGGGCUCAACCUUGGGUCGCAUCGGAAACUGGGGAACUGGAGUGUAGGAGAGGAAAGUGGAAUUCCACGUGUAGCGGUGAAAUGCAUAGAGAUGUGGAGGAACACCAGUGGCGAAGGCGACUUUCUGGCCUAUAACUGACGCUGAGGCGCGAAAGCGUGGGGAGCAAACAGG
rnacentral:rRNA from 1 species